rnacentral:rRNA from 1 species
CACGUAGGGCGCAAGCGUUGUCCGGAAUCAUUGGGCGUAAAGAGCUCGUAGGCGGUUUGUCACGUCUGCUGUGAAAACUCGGGGCUUAACCCCGAGCUUGCAGUGGAUACGGGCAGACUAGAGGUAGGUAGGGGAGAAUGGAAUUCCCGGUGUAGCGGUGAAAUGCGCAGAUAUCGGGAGGAACACCGGUGGCGAAGGCGGUUCUCUGGGCCUUACCUGACGCUGAGGAGCGAAAGCGUGGGGAGCAAACAGG